GAGACGGGGUUACUGCUCUGAGGAGAGUGUGUGAGGCUGCAGUGUGGAGAGUUGUCGUCCAGAGAGCACUGAAAGGGGUGACCAGCGGCGAAAGGAGAGCGGUCGCAAGUGGAGUCGUCAGCGCCCGACAACUGAGUGAGACGUUAGGGAAGGAAGCGUCACAGCUGCUGAGAGAGAAGUGCUGACAGGAAUCAUAUUAGCGUGCGAGCUGCAAGUGAAGCAGCAUGGAGUCUCUGUCAUCACAGCUGGGAAGCACUGAAGAGGCCGCCUGACAGUGAGAGGAUGGAGUGCAGCUGUGGGGAACACAUCAUGAUGUCAUGCCGUGCAGCAGCACUCAAAGGCAGAGCAAGGUCACCCUGGCGAGCAGCAAAAAGACAUUAAAGAAGACCCUCAUCGUGGAACAUCUUAAAGGGGAACCCCGCCUCCCCAUGCUGGAAGUCAGGAUUACCCAGAAACCGUAGAAACAAGGAGUUGUGUCUCCCUAAGUUUCCGGAUCUUCUCAAGGAGUGCCAAAGGCGAUAAACCAACCAUAGAAGGGGAUUAUCUUGUAGAUCCCGAUCACAGUCCGCCUCCAGACAGUGGAGGAAGUUUGUUAAGUUUUUAGAUUUUAGGAAUUGUGUCUCAAG